CGGCUACCGAAAGCGAAACCUUUGACUUGGGAGGCCUGCCUUCCACUACCAUCUCCCAGGUGAUCCGUGAUACUUUCUCCCAAGAUUUUGACUUGGGCGGUGCGGGGAUGAUUCGUAUCACGUUGGUAGUGGGAGCAGGGAAAGGAGAUCGGUCAA
rnacentral:ribozyme from 1 species